UACAGAGGUCUCAAGCGUUGUUCGGAUUCAUUGGGCGUAAAGGGUGCGUAGGCGGCGAGGUAAGUCGGAUGUGAAAUCCCGGGGCUCAACCCUGGAACUGCAUUCGAUACUGCCUUGCUUGAGUACUGGAGAGGAGACUGGAAUUUACGGUGUAGCAGUGAAAUGCGUAGAUAUCGUAAGGAAGACCAGUGGCGAAGGCGAGUCUCUGGACAGUUACUGACGCUGAGGCACGAAGGCCAGGGGAGCAAACGGG
rnacentral:rRNA from 1 species